rnacentral:rRNA from 1 species
GAUGAACGCUGGCGGCGUGCCUAAUACAUGCAAGUCGAGCGAACAGACGAGGAGCUUGCUCCUCUGACGUUAGCGGCGGACGGGUGAGUAACACGUGGAUCACCUACCUAUAAGACUGGGAUAACUUCGGGAAACCGGAGCUAAUACCGGAUAAUAUAUUGAACCGCAUGGUUCAAUAGUGAAAGACGGUUUUGCUGUCACUUAUAGAUGGAUCCGCGCCGCAUUAGCUAGUUGGUAAGGUAACGGCUUACCAAGGCAACGAUGCGUAGCCGACCUGAGAGGGUGAUCGGCCACACUGGAACUGAGACACGGUCCAGACUCCUACGGGGGGCAGCAGUAGGGAAUCUUCCGCAAUGGGCGAAAGCCUGACGGAGCAACGCCGCGUGAGUGAUGAAGGUCUUCGGAUCGUAAAACUCUGUUAUUAGGGAAGAACAAAUGUGUAAGUAACUAUGCACGUCUUGACGGUACCUAAUCAGAAAGCCACGGCUAACUACGUG